GAGGGUGACAGGUGGUGCAUGGUUGUCGUCAGCUCGUGUCGUGAGAUGUUGGGUUAAGUCCCGCAACGAGCGCAACCCUCGCCUCUAGUUGCCAGCAUUCGGUUGGGCACUCUAGAGGGACUGCCGGCGACAAGUCGGAGGAAGGUGGGGAUGACGUCAAAUCAUCAUGCCCCUUAUGACCUGGGCUACACACGUGCUACAAUGGGCGGUACAAAGGGCUGCGAACCCGCGAGGGGAGCGAAUCCCAAAAAGCCGCUCUCAGUUCGGAUUGCAGGCUGCAACUCGCCUGCAUGAAGCCGGAAUCGCUAGUAAUCGCGGAUCAGCAUGCCGCGGUGAAUACGUUCCCGGGCCUU
rnacentral:rRNA from 1 species